rnacentral:rRNA from 1 species
GACGAACGCUGGCGGCGUGCUUAACACAUGCAAGUCGAACGGAAAGGCCCUGCUUUUGUGGGGUGCUCGAGUGGCGAACGGGUGAGUAACACGUGAGUAACCUGCCCUUGACUUUGGGAUAACUUCAGGAAACUGGGGCUAAUACCGGAUAGGAGCUCCUGCUGCAUGGUGGGGGUUGGAAAGUUUCGGCGGUUGGGGAUGGACUCGCGGCUUAUCAGCUUGUUGGUGGGGUAGUGGCUUACCAAGGCGUUGACGGGUAGCCGGCCUGAGAGGGUGACCGGCCACAUUGGGACUGAGAUACGGCCCAGACUCCUACGGGAGGCAGCAGUGGGGAAUAUUGCACAAUGGGCGGAAGCCUGAUGCAGCAACGCCGCGUGCGGGAUGACGGCCUUCGGGUUGUAAACCGCUUUCGCCUGUGACGAAGCGUAAGUGACGGUAAUGGGUAAAGAAGCACCGGCUAACUACGUG